CUUAGUGCCAGCCUCUGACUUUGGUGGUAUGUAAACAGCUACAAAGAAUAUAGAUGAAAACUCUCUCGGUGGGUAAUGUGGUCUGCAGCUUAUUUAGAAACUCUACCUCAGGCGAGCAAUAGCUCGAGACUUCCUUAGAUAUCGUGCACUAGCUGUUGUUUACAAAAAUACAUAGACUGCCGCCCCUUGUCUUACCAGAUGCCGCUGUUCUAUCCUGCCUGUACAUCGUAUAACCAGCCAGAUGUAUCUUUCUCCGCCUCCUCUUCACGCAGAUUGCUGGGGUAGGGACCUGUUCCCGAGGGAGCCUUAUAUCCUCUGCUUCGGGCUCAUCAGAGUCAUGAAAGAAGAAAAAGGAUUCUGCUAGUCAUUGUUGUCCUUCACCCAGGUUGUUUCAUCUCACGAUCUCUGCAGUGGUCCGUGUCCUUUUUGGGCUACCUCAUAUCCACGGAGGGAGUGAAGAUGGAGGAGCAACGCGUCAGCGCAGUCAGGUCAUGGCCCAUCCCCAACUCCGUGAAAGCUCUGCCUAGCCGGACGGGGCCACAGUGUCAGUGUGUUAUAUCUGGAGUAUUUCUCCUGUCUUAUCCGGUGUCCUGUGUGAAUUUAAGUAUGCUCCCUCUAAUUCGCUCUCCCUUUCUCUUCUCUCAGAGGACCUGAGCCCUAGGACCAUCCCUCAGGACGACCUGGCCUGAUGACUCCUUUCUGUCCCCAGUCCACCUGGUCAUGCUGCUGCUCCAGUUUCAUCUGUUCUGCCUGCGGCUAUGGAGCCCUGACCUGUUCACCGGACGUGCUACCUGUCUCAGACCUGCUGUUUUCAACUCUCUAGAGACAGCAGGAGUGGUAGAGAUACUCUGAAUGAUCGGCUAUGAAAAGCCAAAUGACAUUUACUCCUGAGGUGCUGACCUGUUGCACCCUCUACAACCAGUGAUUAUUAUUAUUUGACCCUGCUGGGCAUCUAUGAACAUUUGAACAUCUUGGCCAUGUACUGUUAUAAUGGCACAUCCAGAAAAGGACUGGCCACCCCUCAUAGCCUGGUUCCUCUCUAGAUUUCUUCCUAGGUUCCUGCUUUUCUAGAGAGUUUUUCCUAGCCAUCGUGCUUCUACAUCUGCAUUGCUUGCUGUUUGGGAUUUUAGGCUGGGUUUCUGUAUAGCACUUUGUGGCAUCGGCUGAUGUUAAAAGGGCUUUAAAAAUACAUUUUAUUGAUUGAUUGAAAUUUGAUUGUGGCCUGUGGAAUGUUGUCACACUCCUCUUCAAUGGCUGUGCGAAGUUGCUGAAUAUUGGCGGGAAUUGGAACAUACUGCCGUACACAUCAAUCCAGAACAUCCCAAACAUGCUCAAUGCAUUGACAUGUCUGGUGAGUAUGCAGGCCAUAUAAGAACUGGGACAUUUUCAGCUUCCAGGAUGUGUGUA
rnacentral:lncRNA from 1 species